UCGACAUCGCUGGAUUCGGCAUUGAUUCUGUCUGGUAGUAACCCAACAUCGAAGAUGACGAGAGACUGGAACGAAAACAUUGGAACGAUAUAAAACAAACAAUUAAAAAAAACAAGGAUGUACAUCGCUCAUUGUGAGAUUCAUCGCAAUUAAGAGAACAAAGAUAUUCUGCGCUUAAUCACAAAUAUGUACAACCUCCAAAAUAGUACGCUACACUAUGCAGAACAAAACACCUGCACACGCGCGCGGCGUUAUCAUGCAACGACGGAUACGGGAGGCCGCGGGCGUGGUCGGCGGUCGCGCCGCAAGAGCAUCGUGCGCCUCACCCCGCCGCGAGCCGCCUUUCGCACGCCGCGGUCGAAACCCGCGCGACCGCCUCCACGUGUACGAACCGCAUUUUUUUAUAGCGAUCACCGACCUCGUCCAACUCGGCGCGCAGUAAGGACGUCGAGUUACAUCACAAGAGGAGCGCUCUACGGCACACACAUCCGACGAUAAUCGCGUACGAUACGCUCUUUUUUCGCUCCCCUCCCUUUUUACCUCUUUUUCGACGCAACUCGUGCUGCCUUCUUCUUCGAAAGCCGAGCCCCGCUAAUCGGCGUCCUAUGACAAGUAUGGCCACGCAUAGAGGGAUACGCAAAAAUCGUAUUGAUCCACGGAAACAUCCCCCGUACCGAGGGGAAAUCUCGCCCUACGACCAAACCGCCGCCGCUCACGACCGGAAGAUACUCAGCCGAAUUUUAUGAUGGAGCCGCGCCUUUCGCCCUAUUCAUGUCCCGAGAAAGAGGAUUCUUGUGCAAUCGGUUCAUGUGUACCAGAAACGAAAUGAGGGCUAUUGGAAACUAAAUAUGAUGCAACUUGGGUUUGAAAAAGAUUGGAUCAGGUUACUUGACUGUCAUGUCGCUUUAAAAAUGUACCGUGUUAUCAAUAUGUCACCAUGCUCUUUCUUCAACAUUUUAUCGCAGACCACGUGAUAUAAUACCUUGGUUUUUAUUGGUUUGAGAUCAAAAUUGAAGAAAAGAUCAUUUAGGAAUUACAGAUGCAAUCUAGGUAUCUUAUUUGGCAAAGGAAUUCGUGGAUGAAAGAAAGCCAAGGAAAUCGGUUUCUGUAAAGCGGAAGAUCUGUUAUCUCAGUUAAAAAAUAGAAGACAAAGUAUAGAUGAUAUAGAUCUCAACACCGGAAGAUAUAUGCUUGGAGAUAAUAUUAAAGAAACUGUGUGAUACGCCAUUGUUUGUAAAAGAGAGAGAACCGAGAGAGGAACUGGAGAGAGAGAGAAAGAAAGUGCGUGAGAUCGAAGAACGAAGACGAGGCAGAAGGGACAAAGGGUGGCAGGAAGAGGAAGUGAGAUCGCGAAGGGAAGCAAGAAAGAGGGUGCAAAGGACGCGGUGACCUGUGGACGUUUUGCACGCGUGCGAAUCAUGGAUACACCGCUACACGCGCGUUUGAUCGCACGAGCGCGCGAGCUUACCCCAGCAUUGCGUUAAACGCUCUUGUAGAUUUCGCUAAAGCCCAUAAACACGAGAGAUGCUUCUAAUAUCGAUUUCUCCUAAUGAUUCUUUUGCAAGUUAUUUGAUUCGCCGAGAGUUUUUGUUGUAAACAUUCAGGAAUGUUAACAUCGAAGGAUUCGAGAAUGGAAAGUCAGGAGAAAAUUUGAGGGCACAAAGUUUCGAGAACUCUGAUAUCUCCUCAAAACAAUGCGAGAUGCAUUAUUAUGGCUUACGCAUGGAGUGCGACGAUGUUCCGGA
rnacentral:misc_RNA from 1 species